GGAUGAACGCUGGCGGCGUGCCUAAUACAUGCAAGUCGAGCGAACGGACGAGACGCUUGCUUCUCUGAUGUUAGCGGCGGACGGGUGAGUAACACGUGGAUAACCUACCUAUAAGACUGGGAUAACUUCGGGAAACCGGAGCUAAUACCGGAUAAUAUUUUGAACCGCAUGGUUCAAAGGUGAAAGACGGUCUUGCUGUCACUUAUAGAUGGAUCCGCGCUGCAUUAGCUAGUUGGUAAGGUAACGGCUUACCAAGGCAACGAUGCAUAGCCGACCUGAGAGGGUGAUCGGCCACACUGGAACUGAGACACGGUCCAGACUCCUACGGGAGGCAGCAGUAGGGAAUCUUCCGCAAUGGGCGAAAGCCUGACGGAGCAACGCCGCGUGAGUGAUGAAGGUCUUCGGAUCGUAAAACUCUGUUAUUAGGGAAGAACAUAUGUGUAAGUAACUGUGCACAUCUUGACGGUACCUAAUCAGAAAGCCACGGCUAACUACGUG
rnacentral:rRNA from 1 species